GCACCUGCAAAAUCAGGUGCCGGGAUUGGUCUCCUGAUAUACUUUGUUGGCGACAUAUGACGCGCCUGCGUCUUUUUU
rnacentral:sRNA from 1 species